ACGCUCGACACCUACGGGAGUCAGCAGUGAGGAAUAUUGGUCAAUGGGCGCUAGCCUGAACCAGCCAAGUAGCGUGAAGGAUGAAGGCUCUAUGGGUCGUAAACUUCUUUUAUAUAAGAAUAAAGUGCAGUAUGUAUACUGUUUUGUAUGUAUUAUAUGAAUAAGGAUCGGCUAACUCCGUGCCAGCAGCCGCGGUAAUCUGAGCGGGCUGGCAAGGC
rnacentral:rRNA from 1 species